rnacentral:tmRNA from 1 species
GGGGGUGUUUUGGUUUUGACAGCGCAUGUGUCGGACAGUAAGCACGCCGGGCGUUGGGACCUUGCCCGUAAAUCUCAGAUCCCGAACAAUCAGUUGCCAACAACAACUACGCACUCGCUGCCUAAUUCGACUCAGUCAAUUAGCUUAAUCCGCGACGCCAAGGCUGCGCCGCCGACGAGUAUCCCUCGGAAACUCCGCCCGUAAUUUUCCGAUCCAGGGGUAUCACCAAGACGGGACGCUCCGGCGGACGCCUUUAAAGCCGGCUAAGACCAAAGGCUAAGGUGAACGGUCGCCCGCUUUCCGGCAGCCCGAUCCCGACAAUCAAAGGAAAGAUAAGCGUGUAGAAAGCUGCCUGGUGCGGCGUUUGGACAGCGGUUCGAGUCCGCUCACCUCCACCU